rnacentral:lncRNA from 1 species
CGCCACGACCCAGGGCUGGCCCUCCUGUGGCCUGAUGAAGGUGUUCUGCCAGGGCAGUGAGCAGGAAGUGAAGUCUCACCUCAUUGUCCUGCGGGGUGGGGAAGUUAGAGCGGUGUGUGACAGGCCUUGAUAGAGAGGAAGAGACCUAGACCUCAAGGCCACCAGGACUUCUGAAGACCAAGCAGUGACAUGAAAGGCAACCUU